rnacentral:rRNA from 1 species
UACAGAGGUCUCAAGCGUUGCUCGGAUUCAUUGGGCGUAAAGGGUGCGUAGGCGGCGCGGUAAGUCGGGUGUGAAAUUUCGAGGCUUAACUUCGAAACUGCAUUCGAUACUGCCGUGCUUGAGGACUGGAGAGGAGACUGGAAUUUACGGUGUAGCGGUGAAAUGCGUAGAUAUCGUAAGGAAGACCAGUGGCGAAGGCGGGUCUCUGGACAGUUCCUGACGCUGAGGCACGAAGGCCAGGGGAGCAAGCGGG